rnacentral:rRNA from 1 species
GACGAACGCUGGCGGCGUGCUUAACACAUGCAAGUCGAACGGAAAGGCCCUGCUUUUGUGGGGUGCUCGAGUGGCGAACGGGUGAGUAACACGUGAGUAACCUGACCUUGACUUUCGGAUAACUUCAGGAAACUGGGGCUAAUACAGGAUAGGAGCUCCUGCUGCAUGGUGGGGGUUGGAACGUUUCGGCGGUCGGGGAUGGACGCGCGGCUUAUCAGCUUGUUGGUGGGGUAGUGGCUUACCAAGGCAUUGACGGGUCGCCGGCCUGGGAGGGUGGCCGGGGACAUUGGGCCUGAGGGAGGGAGCAGUGGCGUACGGUGGGCAACAGGGGGAAACAUUACACAGUGGGCGGGAGCCUGAGACAACAGCGCCGCGUGCGGAAUGACGGCCUUCGGGGUGAAAACCGCUGUCGCCUGUGACGAAGCGGGUGUGACGGUAAUGAGUAAAGAAGCACCGGCUAACUACGUG